rnacentral:lncRNA from 1 species
CUGGAGAAUUAAAUGUCUUAUAUUGGCUAAGACAAGGUACCUCCAAGGGACCAGACGAUGAGAGAACAGCGUGGACCUUCCCAAGCCUCCAGCCUGCAAAUGGGCUGAGUACCUAUGUGAUCAAUGUCCUCAUAUUCAGUGGGGCCACCAGCCUGCUGGGCAGCCUGUGAUAAGUUCUUUACUCUCGGUGAAGUGAAUCUCAGUUUCCACAGAAGGGAUGAUUACAGCACACACUUGAAUGGAUGGAGUACACAUCUGAAGAACUGUGACUGGUGAUGGACUUCGAUCUAGCUCUUUCCGCCUGUCCGACGGGCAGCCCCUGGCAGGUAUGGGGCAUGGUGGAGAUGGACUCUGAUUGGAUAUUUAAGAAGAUGCAUUUGUUGCCAUAUGGGAGGCCAGGCAUGGAUGGAAUAGACAAGGGGCUACCACACUAGUCCUCCUGGCAUUGAGUGAUCAGGGAAGAAGCGAGGUAAAUAGCAGGUAAUGAGGGGGCACUUCUAAACUGUUAUGAAGAUUAUUGUUAGCUGUGAAGUGGUGGCAUUCUUUAGUUCUAACACUUGGGAGGCAGAGGCAGGGGGAUCUCUAUGAGUUCAAGGUCAGCUCGUCUACAUAUUGAGUUGUAGAACAGUCAUGGCUACACAGAAAAACCCUGUUUUUGACAACCCUGAAAACCAAAGCCAAACCAAGCCAAGCCAAACCAAACCAAACCAAACCAAACCAAACCAAACCAAACCAAACCAAACCAAACCAAACCAACAAAAAAAAAAAAUCAGUGUUAAGUAGGAACUUGAUAAAUGGCAGCUAAUAUGUGAAUGAGGCAGAAAGGACAAGGAAAGAAUGAGUUCUCCUAGGUAUAGUGGAGGAGAAAGUUUGUUAUAGACAUGUGGGAAAGCAUAGCUAGAGGCCGGGCCAUCUGGGAGAGUUCAGACAUGACCCUGAGCCAUGGGAGGAGAUAGAAGGACAGGGGGCAUGGUGAGGGUGGGGGCGGAGAUAGGGAAGGGAGGUAGGAAGAGAGGGG